rnacentral:rRNA from 1 species
UACGUAGGUGACUAGCGUUGUCCGGAUUUACUGGGCGUAAAGAGCGCGCAGGCGGUCGUUCAAGUCGAGUGUGAAAGCCCCCGGCUCAACUGGGGAGGGUCAUUCGAUACUGAUCGACUCGAAGGCAGGAGAGGGAAGCGGAAUUCCCGGUGUAGUGGUGAAAUGCGCAGAUAUCAGGAGGAACACCAGCGGCGAAGGCGGCGCUCUGGGCCGGUACUGACGCUGAGGAGCGAAAGCGUGGGUAGCAAACAGG